rnacentral:rRNA from 1 species
UACGUAGGGUGCAAGCGUUGUCCGGAAUUAUUGGGCGUAAAGAGCUCGUAGGCGGUUCGUCGCGUCGGCUGUGAAAACCCGGAGCUCAACUCCGGGCCUGCAGUCGAUACGGGCGGACUCGAGUUCGGCAGGGGAGACUGGAAUUCCUGGUGUAGCGGUGAAAUGCGCAGAUAUCAGGAGGAACACCAAUGGCGAAGGCAGCUCACUGGGACGGUAUUGACGCUGAGACGCGAAAGCGUGGGGAGCAAACAGG